rnacentral:rRNA from 1 species
GAUGAACGCUGGCGGCGUGCCUAAUACAUGCAAGUCGAGCGAACGGACGAGAAGCUUGCUUCUCUGAUGUUAGCGGCGGACGGGUGAGUAACACGUGGAUAACCUACCUAUAAGACUGGGAUAACUUCGGGAAACCGGAGCUAAUACCGGAUGAUAUUUUGAACCGCAUGGUUCAAAAGUGAAAGACAGUCUUGCUGUCACUUAUAGAUGGAUCCGCGCUGCAUUAGCUAGUUGGUAAGGUAACGGCUUACCAAGGCAACGAUGCAUAGCCGACCUGAGAGGGUGAUCGGCCACACUGGAACUGAGACACGGUCCAGACUCCUACGGGAGGCAGCAGUAGGGAAUCUUCCGCAAAGGGCGAAAGCCUGACGGAGCAACGCCGCGUGAGUGAUGAAGGUCUUCGGAUCGUAAAACUCUGUUAUUAGGGAAGAACAUAUGUGUAAGUAACUGUGCACAUCUUGACGGUACCUAAUCAGAAAGCCACGGCUAACUACGUG